rnacentral:rRNA from 1 species
CGCCGAAGUUACUUCAUGAGAAACUAGUGGCGGACGGGUGAGUAACGCGUGGGUAACCUGCCUUACACAGGGGGAUAACAGUUAGAAAUGACUGCUAAUACCGCAUAAGCGCACAGAAUCGCAUGAUUCAGUGUGAAAAGAUUUAUCGGUGUAAGAUGGACCCGCGUCUGAUUAGCUAGUUGGUGAGGUAACGGCCCACCCAAGGCGACGAUCAGUAGCCGGCCUGAGAGGGUGAACGGCCACAUUGGGACUGAGACACGGCCCAAACUCCUACGGGAGGCAGCAGUAGGGAAUAUUGGACAAUGGGGGAAACCCUGAUCCAAGCGACGCCGCGUGAGUGAAGAAGUAUUUCGGUACGUAAAGCUCUAUCAGCAGGGAAGAAAAUGACGGUACCUGACUAAGAAGCACCGGCUAAAUACGUGCCAGCAGCCGC